CAUCAAAAUUUCACCAUUAUAUAUAGCAAGUUUGAGCAAAAACAUCAAGCACUAGUUGAAGCAAAAGUGUAUAGUUCUUGAUGAACUAAGUAGAAGAAAAAAUAGCCUCUAUGAUUUCCACCAAUUGGCAAGAAGAAGUUUGAGACACUUUCAUACCUUCCACCUCUAUCAGCUGAGAGUUUGGCUAAGGAAGUAGAAUACCUUCUAAGAAAGGGAUGGAUUCCUUGCUUGGAAUUUGAAAUCGAGCAUGGAUUAAUUUGUGUAUCGGGAAUACAAUAGUUCAGCUGGAUACAAUGAUGGACGAUAUUGGACAAUGUAGAAAAUUGUCUAUGUUUGGAUGCAGUGAUUAUUUUCAAGUGUUGAAGAAACUUGAAGAGGCUAAAAGACUUAUCCAAGUGCUUUUAUUCGAAGAAUUGGAUUUGACAAUGUUCGUUAAGUGCAAAGCAUGAGUUUCAUUGCACACACGUUGGAAAACUACUAAAUUUGAUAUUUGCACCUCCCUUUAUAACCCUACUUUGUACAUGAUCACAUGUAAGAACAUUUUUCCAUUUUCUUUUUAUACUUCAUCAUCAUCACCAUGUUGUAUUUUUGGUUUGUGCAUUCGAAUUUCCUUGGGAAAUUAUGAAUGGAAGAGAACUAUCAAUGAUAAUUAACUAUGUUGUUGUGUUUUCAAA